AUUGAACGCUGGCGGCAGGCCUAACACAUGCAAGUCGAGCGGAUGAAGGGAGCUUGCUCCUGGAUUCAGCGGCGGACGGGUGAGUAAUGCCUAGGAAUCUGCCUGGUAGUGGGGGAUAACGUCCGGAAACGGGCGCUAAUACCGCAUACGAACUGAGGGAGAAAGUGGGGGAUCUUCGGACCUCACGCUAUCAGAUGAGCCUAGGUCGGAUUAGCUAGUUGGUGGGGUAAAGGCCUACCAAGGCGACGAUCCGUAACUGGUCUGAGAGGAUGAUCAGUCACACUGGAACUGGGACACGCUCCAGACUCCUACGGGAGGCAGCAGUGGGGAAUAUUGGACAAUGGGCGAAAGCCUGAUCCAGCCCGGCCGCGUGUGUGAAGAAGGUCUUCGGAUUGUAAAGCACUUUGAGUUGGGAGGAAGGGCAGUAAGUUAAUACCUUGCUGUUUUGACGUUACCAACAGAAUAAGCACCGGCUAACUUCGUG
rnacentral:rRNA from 1 species